rnacentral:rRNA from 1 species
CGGCAACAGCUCAAAUUUGAAAUCUGGCUCUUCUAGGGUCCGAGUUGUAAUUUGUAGAAGAUGCUUCGGGUGUGGCUCCGGUCUAAGUUCCUUGGAACAGGACGUCAUAGAGGGUGAGAAUCCCGUCUGGAGUCUGCGACACGGCCUAUGUGAAACUCCUUCGAC